rnacentral:rRNA from 1 species
AUUGAACGCUGGCGGCAUGCCUUACACAUGCAAGUCGAACGGCAGCACGGGAGCAAUCCUGGUGGCGAGUGGCGAACGGGUGAGUAAUAUAUCGGAACGUGCCCAGUCGUGGGGGAUAACGUAGCGAAAGCUACGCUAAUACCGCAUACGAUCUAUGGAUGAAAGCGGGGGAUCGCAAGACCUCGCGCGAUUGGAGUGGCCGAUAUCAGAUUAGGUAGUUGGUGAGGUAAAGGCUCACCAAGCCGACGAUCUGUAGCUGGGCUGAGAGGACGACCAGCCACACUGGGACUGAGACACGGCCCAGACUCCUACGGGAGGCAGCAGUGGGGAAUUUUGGACAAUGGGCGCAAGCCUGAUCCAGCAAUGCCGCGUGCAGGAUGAAGGCCUUCGGGUUGUAAACUGCUUUUGUACGGAACGAAACGGUGAGCUCUAAUACAGUUUGCUAAUGACGGUACCGUAAGAAUAAGCACCGGCUAACUACGUG